rnacentral:rRNA from 1 species
AUUGAACGCUGGCGGCAUGCUUUACACAUGCAAGUCGAACGGUAACAGGGAGCUUGCUCCGCUGACGAGUGGCGAACGGGUGAGUAAUGCAUCGGAACGUAUCCAGUCGUGGGGGAUAACGUAGUGAAAAUUACGCUAAUACCGCAUACGAUCUAAGGAUGAAAGCGGGGGAUCGCAAGACCUCGCGCGAUUGGAGCGGCCGAUAUCAGAUUAGGUAGUUGGUGAGGUAAAGGCUCACCAAGCCGACGAUCUGUAGCUGGUCUGAGAGGACGACCAGCCACACUGGAACUGAGACACGGUCCAGACUCCUACGGGAGGCAGCAGUGGGGAAUUUUGGACAAUGGACGCAAGUCUGAUCCAGCCAUGCCGCGUGCAGGAUGACGGUCCUAUGGAUUGUAAACUGCUUUUGUACAGGAAGAAACACUCCCUCGUGAGGGAGCUUGACGGUACUGUAAGAAUAAGGAUCGGCUAACUCCGUG